GAUGAACGCUGGCGGCGUGCCUAAUACAUGCAAGUCGAGCGAAGCGGGGACGGGUGAGUCACACGUGGAUAACCUCCUAUAAGACUGGGAUACCUUCGGGAAACCGGAGCUAAACCGGAUACUUAUCGAUGGAUCCCCGGUGCAUUAGCUAGUUGGUAAGGUAACGGCUUACCAAGGCAACGAUGCAUAGCCGACCUGAGAGAGGGUUCGGCCACACUGGAACUGAGGCACGGUCCAGAUUCCGACGGGAGGCGGCAGUAGGGAGUCUUCCGCAAUGGGCGAAGGCCUGACGGAGAAACGCCGCGUGAGGGAUGACGGUCUUCGGAUCGUAAAACUCGGUGAUAAGGGAAGCGGUACCUAAUCAGAAAGCCAGGGCUAACUAGGUGCCAGCAGGCGCGGGAAUAG
rnacentral:rRNA from 1 species